GACAAACAGGACAUGGGUGAAAACAACCUGAUUGGAGGAGGUGAAGCCCUUUGAAACAGCUGUUUCUAAAGGUCCUAUACAAAUGAAAUUCCUGCAGCGGGACCGGGGCCCUCCCACAGUGAAUCCUGUGGUGUGACAUCAGCCCGAGUGACAAGGAGGAAGCGGUGUGGGGAAGAGUCAAGUUAC